UUUUUUUUGCUUUCAACCAUGUAAAGGAAAUAAGCUUCACUUUAUCCAUAUAUUGAUGCAUUGCAUACUCCUUAUGUAGGAUGAUACAAUAAUUUUUCUCCUUAUGUAAGAGGUGGUGCCUAUACCCGACCUUGUACGUACAACCAGUUAGGGUUUAGGUCACUCUAAUUCCAUUCGGGUUCGUCUUAAACAUAUUUGCUCGCGUUAUUGGGUACAACUGUACAAGUCCUGUUUUAACAGCGGUGUUUACUCGCUAUCGUCAUCGGUUUACAUGUAUCAUUCUUAAAGUUUGACUCUCGAAUGUUGUUUGAUGUGUUCCUCAAAAGCGACAAAUAUUAUGAAACGGAGGGAGUAAUUUUUUUUACCAAAUGAGAUAUGGAAUAAGAAUACUUAAAAUAUAUUGUAAAAAAAAAUCCAAAAAAAUAUUUUUAGGGUCUUUAACGAUAAGCAUCAUAUUUUCGGUAUGUUUUUAAAUGGUUUGGAAAUAUGGUAAACAAUAGAUUGAAAACAUGGUAGUCCUAAGCAAGAAGCAGAAACAAACAAGGAAGAAUCAAGUCUUGGGAAAACCGCCGU
rnacentral:lncRNA from 1 species